UACGAAGGGGGCUAGCGUUGCUCGGAAUUACUGGGCGUAAAGGGCGCGUAGGCGGAUAGUUUAGUGAGAGGUGAAAGCCCAGGGCUCAACCUUGGAACUGCCUUUCAUACUGGCUAUCUUGAGUACGGGAGAGGUGAGUGGAACUCCGAGUGUAGAGGUGAAAUUCGUAGAUAUUCGGAAGAACACCAGUGGCGAAGGCGGCUCACUGGACCGACACUGACGCUCAUGCACGAAAGCGUGGGGAGCAAACAGG
rnacentral:rRNA from 1 species